UCCUACUGACAGCCAUCACCACCUUCUACCUGUACUACAAGACCACCAGGAGGCAGAGGAGAGUGAACAGGGUGAGCGGCAUGGCUCUUUAUGUUGGUGCUGUGUCUCCCUAGACCACCAGGAGGCAGAGGAGAGUGAACAGGACCACCAGGAGGCAGAGGAGAGUGAACAGGGUGAGCGGCAUGGCUCUUUAUGUCGAUGCUGUGGAGAUGGUCUCUCUGAGCUCCAGAGCUGAAGCAGGGCCGGGAGAGGAGAGAGCAGCCCAGGGGACUGAGUAGGAGUAGAAUGACGCUGACCCUACAUGCUUAUCUUAGGUCAGUUCUGUGUUUUAAAAUCGAUGGUCAGGGGAGCACUGGUGUAUAUAAUGCUGAUCUCAGGUCAGUUCUGUGUUUUAACAUCGAUGGUCAGGGGAGCACUGGUGUAUGUAAUGCUGAUCUCAGGUCAGUUCUGUGUUUUAACAUCGAUGGUCAGGGGAGCACUGGUGUAUAUAAUGCUGAUCUCAGGUCAGUUCUGUGUUUUAACAUCGAUGGUCAGGGGAGCACUGGUGUAUAUAAUGCUGAUCUCAGGUCAGUUCUG